rnacentral:ncRNA from 1 species
UGAAGAUAGAGGUCGCAUUUUUCAAGAGUAUGAUGUGGGAUGCUUCAGGAGCAGACGAAAGCAUCAGAAAGGGAAAAGUGCCGAAAGAGUAUAAUUGUCCUGAAAUUAUGCUGCUUGGGCGUGGCAUGAAGAAUGACACGACUGUCAUCGCAGGAUGGAGUGCUAUCUC